AACGAACGCUGGCGGCAGGCUUAACACAUGCAAGUCGAGCGCUCCGCAAGGGGAGCGGCAGACGGGUGAGUAACGCGUGGGAAUCUACCCAUCUCUACGGAAUAACGCAUGGAAACGGGUGCUAAUACCGUAUACGUCCCUCGGGAGAAAGAUUUAUCGGAGGUGGAUGAGCCCGCGUUGGAUUAGCUAGUUGGUGGGGUAAAGGCCUACCAAGGCGACGAUCCAUAGCUGGUCUGAGAGGAUGAUCAGCCACACUGGGACUGAGACACGGCCCAGACUCCUACGGGAGGCAGCAGUGGGGAAUAUUGGACAAUGGGCGCAAGCCUGAUCCAGCCAUGCCGCGUGAGUGAUGAAGGCCCUAGGGUUGUAAAGCUCUUUCACCGGUGAAGAUAAUGACGGUAACCGGAGAAGAAGCCCCGGCUAACUUCGUGCCAGCCGCCGCUGUAAAAC
rnacentral:rRNA from 1 species